UUAACGUUGUGAUAACGUUAUGCUUUGGACAUUACAACACUUUUUGUAAAUGAUGUUUAGGAAACCACUUGUAGAUCUACCAUCUCGUAGUUUUAUUUUUUUUAAACAUAUAUAUCUAUGAACGAAGUUAUCUGUCUACUAAAUGUUGUCUAAAGCAAAAUUACAGUUAAAAACACAUUGGCGCCCAUUUUUUGCGACGUGAGAGAGACUGCUGAAAAGUUUAGCCUGUUGCCUCGUGAAGUGACGUCAAAAUGACGUCACAUUGUCGCGGAAGAUUUGUUGUCACCAGCCAUCUUGGUUCAAACUCACUCUGGAUAUAUUACAACCAAGUGAUUGUGCAGCAACGGGAACUGGACAGAUGAUCUGUGAAUUCGGAUAAGCAAGGGGGAAAAUGUUACACGACAAUUCCAGGAGAUAAAAUCAAGAAUGUUGAAUUAUUGAGGAACACACCAAAUAAACCCUGGGCUGUGAAUUAUGUUAACGGAAUUUGAAGUGAACACCAAAGAAAGAAGAUUCUGGCAUUCAAUAAUUUCGAAAAGUGUAUACAUUUUCUAUAAUCUAAAAAUAAUAAAAUGUCAACGCAAA